GAUUCAGAUCUGAAUUUUAUUUGUCACAUAUGAGAUGCAUGAGGUGAUGAUCUUAGAUCUGUGAUGUUCUGUGAUGUGAUCAUGGUGUCUGUGAGCUCCAUUAAAAUUCUAUAUUUGGAGACCUAUGCGUCACAUUAGGUUAGAUCUAAUGAAUGUAUAUUGGGUGCCUACGUGCAUCAUAUGAUUCAUAUAAUUUGGAGACUUGCGAGUCUUAUAAAAGGGGUUGUAAUAAUUGCUAUUAUUUUUGAUCUUCUAGAUUAUAUUUUGUGAUGUGUUUGCACAUCAAUGGUUGAUCGAAUUAUAAGCCUAUCGCACAUGAUGCACAC
rnacentral:lncRNA from 1 species